rnacentral:rRNA from 1 species
CCUACGGGUGACAGCAGUGAGGAAUAUUGGUCAAUGGACGAGAGUCUGAACCAGCCAAGUAGCGUGAAGGAUGACUGCCCUAUGGGUUGUAAACUUCUUUUAUAAAGGAAUAAAACGAGGCACGUGUGCCUUUUUGCAUGUACUUUAUGAAUAAGGCUCGGCUAACUCCGUGCCAGCCGCCGCGGUAAUACGGAGGACCCGAGCGUUAUCCGGAUUUAUUGGUUUUAAAGGGAGCGUAGAUGGGUUGUUAAGUCAGUUGUGAAAGUUUGCGGCUCAACCGUAAAAUUGCAAUUGAUACUGGCAGUCUUGAGUACAGUUGAGGUAGGCGGAAUUCGUGGUGUAGCGGUGAAAUGCUUAGAUAUCACGAAGAACCCCGAUUGCGAAGGCAGCUUACUAAACUGUGACUGACAUUGAUGCUCGAAAGUGUGGGUAUCAAACAGGAUUAGAUACCCCUGUAGUC